rnacentral:rRNA from 1 species
GAUGAACGCUGACAGAAUGCUUAACACAUGCAAGUCCACUUGAACUUCGGUUUGGGUGGCGGACGGGUGAGUAACGCGUAAAGAACUUGCCUCACAGAUAGGGACAACAUUUGGAAACGAAUGCUAAUACCUGAUAUUAUGAUUAUAUGGCAUCGUAUAAUUAUGAAAGCUAUAUGCGCUGUGAGAGAGCUUUGCGUCCCAUUAGCUAGUUGGAGAGGUAACGGCUCACCAAGGCGAUGAUGGGUAGCCGGCCUGAGAGGGUGAUCGGCCACAAGGGGACUGAGACACGGCCCUUACUCCUACGGGAGGCAACAGUGGGGAAUAUUGGACAAUGGACCAAGAGUCUGAUCCAGCAAUUCUGUGUGCACGAUGAAGUUUUUCGGAAUGUAAAGUGCUUUCAGUUGGGAAGAAAAAAAUGACGGUACCAACAGAAGAAGUGACGGCUAAAUACGUG